rnacentral:rRNA from 1 species
UACGUAGGAGGCAAGCGUUGUCCGGAAUUACUGGGCGUAAAGCGUGCGCAGGCGGUUGUGCAAGACAGAUGUGAAAUCCCCGGGCUCAACCUGGGAAUUGGCAUUUGUGACUGCACGGCUAGAGUGUGUCAGAGGGGGGUAGAAUUCCACGUGUAGCAGUGAAAUGCGUAGAGAUGUGGAGGAAUACCGAUGGCGAAGGCAGCCCCCUGGGAUAACACUGACGCUCAUGCACGAAAGCGUGGGGAGCAAACAGG